AGACCCGAAACCCGGUGAUCUAGCCAUGGGCAGGUUGAAGGUUGGGUAACACUAACUGGAGGACCGAACCGACUAAUGUUGAAAAAUUAGCGGAUGACCUGUGGCUGGGGGUGAAAGGCCAAUCAAACCGGGAGAUAGCUGGUUCUCCCCGAAAGCUAUUUAGGUAGCGCCUCGUGAAUUCAUCUCCGGGGGUAGAGCACUGUUUCGGCUAGGGGGCCAUCCCGGCUUACCAACCCGAUGCAAACUGCGAAUACCGGAGAAUGUUAUCACGGGAGACACACGGCGGGUGCUAACGUCCGUCGUGAAGAGGGAAACAACCCAGACCGCCAGCUAAGGUCCCAAAGUCAUGGUUAAGUGGGAAACGAUGUGGGAAGGCCCAGACAGCCAGGAUGUUGGCUUAGAAGCAGCCAUCAUUUAAAGAAAGCGUAAUAGCUCACUGGUCGAGUCGGCCUGCGCGGAAGAUGUAACGGGGCUAAACCAUGCACCGAAGCUGCGGCAGCGACACUCAGGUGUUGUUGGGUAGGGGAGCGUUCUGUAAGCCUGUGAAGGUGUGUCGUGAGGCAUGCUGGAGGUAUCAGAAGUGCGAAUGCUGACAUAAGUAACGAUAAAGCGGGUGAAAAGCCCGCUCGCCGGAAGACCAAGGGUUCCUGUCCAACGUUAAUCGGGGCAGGGUGAGUCGACCCCUAAGGCGAGGCCGAAAGGCGUAGUCGAUGGGAAACGGGUUAAUAUUCCCGUACUUGGUGUUACUGCGAAGGGGGGACGGAGAAGGCUAUGUUGGCCGGGCGACGGUUGUCCCGGUUUAAGCGUGUAGGUGUGUGUUCCAGGUAAAUCCGGUCCACUUUAACACUGAGGCGUGAUGACGAGGCACUACGGUGCUGAAGCAACAAAUGCCCUGCUUCCAGGAAAAGCCUCUAAGCAUCAGGUAACAUCAAAUCGUACCCCAAACCGACACAGGUGGUCAGGUAGAGAAUACCAAGGCGCUUGAGAGAACUCGGGUGAAGGAACUAGGCAAAAUGGUGCCGUAACUUCGGGAGAAGGCACGCUGACACGUAGGUGAAGU
rnacentral:rRNA from 1 species